CAACCAUACCGCAUUGAAUACACCAAAUGUCAUCUGUUCAUUGAAGUUAAGCAGUGUCGAGUGCGGUUAGUACCUAUAUUGGAGACCACCUGGGAAUACUG